AUCAAUUUGUUUGACUUGUCAGUCGGUUUAUAGUUCUUUAAAAAUAAAGAAAUAGUUUGCAACUUAUCUUUACAAAUUGAUCAUGUAGGUUCCGUAGAAUAUUACAAUUUCCAAUAAUGGCGAUCGGCGUCUCGUCAGACCCUCACGUUCGAUGUUCGUUUUCGUAGAUUAUAUAAAGGUUGCAAUAUUUAAUAAAUUAUUGCGUUUCACCGUUCUUUUGUAUUAACGUUGAAAAUAUAACUAUUCGUGACUGAUACUUUGUUUAUGCGUUUAAAUUAAUAAUUCAAGAUUGUAAAAGAAAUUGAAUCUCAAAUUUGUACUGAUACGAGGAAUAACAGUUAUGUUUACAGUCGGGCGUCUUCUCGUAGUGUUCUAGUUUCACCUUUUCUGUUAAGCAGAUUUUUCUUUGUUCGUAAAUUUGCUUCAAGUUGUCAUAUAUUGUAAUUACCUCUCUAGUCAAGAGUUAGGCGCGUACAUUUAAGCCUUACAGUACACCUGAAGAGUGUCAGGUGCGGCGAAAAACUUUUUUGUAAUAUUUUCAAAACAGUAUAAUUUUGACCACUGGUUGUGCAGUCGUUCUGUGCUUAGUUGUUGGGGGUUGGUCGAGAACCAAAAAAAUCUCGGGUGGCGCCAAAAUCGGUGCUCCAUGCGCAGAAACUUGUCCCGCUUCAGCGAGAACACCCUAUUCAUAGCUCAAACCUGGUUGAAUUUGACUCCAAGAAAUGAAAGAAAAAAAUCGAGAAUUCGAAAAUUUUACUGCGCGUUGCCAUUAUUACUAAAGAAAGGUAGUCCGUGAAAGUUAUGAUUGAGAAAAGAAAAAAGAAAAAAGAAAACAGAAAGAAAAAGGUGUGUUAAUAUUAUCUUUGACUUUGGGGUCUGCGUCGAUUGGUUUAAAAAUUAUUAUGCGGACAGAACACAAACAGCAUGACAGCAAUAAAUAUUCAAUAAAUAUAUUUAACGGCACAAUCUUUAUUCAAUAGUCUAAUAGGGUCGACUUGGAUCGUAGAUUAAAAAGAAUGUUCUCUAACGUGGAUCACUCGUGCACUGUCAUUGGUUUUCUUGUAUGUAUUAAUUGUCAGUUGACGUCGGUAUAUUAAAAUUUUAGUGCCACUAAUUCUGCGCGAGCUCGACCUCCUUUCGUCGUAACACCUUAUUGUCUAAUGUUACCAUUCGACUUAUUGUCCAAAAUCCACCUUCCUUCCCCACCAUUCUUCUUAUUCUUUCUCUUUCUCACUUCUUUCUAUUAUACUCGUUACAAAGGUUUCCGAUGAAAUUAAUGAUUCUCGGAAUUCUUAGGCCCCCCCAAUUCUUUCGACAAUGUCCAAUUCUGGGAACUAUAUUUGACAGUGGAGAGGUAGAGAAUUUUGAGGUGACAUCGGAAAAUGAAAAAAAAAUUACGUCUUUCCUGCAAACAUACAUCGAAUAUAUUCAACAGGUGCAUGCGCUUGUGGCACGCAGCUCAAAUGCGUGAUCGAUAAUUCUGCGCAAUGGAAUGUGAAAAUAAAGUGUUUCCUACAAAUGGGUACUGGCCGGACAUGUAGCAAACUUCAUCUCAGAGAUCCCAUCCGCAGUGACAUCGGCGCAAAGUUAUGUCAAACAUCUGCUGUGGUAUUGCGUACAGAAAUGGUGGAUCAUCUCAUGAAUUCUAAAGAUAAACAUCAAACAAACGUGAUGAAGGUGGCCAAAAAUGAAUUCGUGGCAUCUCAAUACCUUGAUGCGGAUCCACGUCGAGCAUUAGAUAUCAUGAUGGAGACAUCUAUGAAGGAUAUCAUCCAUAACGUGGGGAUGAACCGAUUCAUAGUACACUAUUGGACCAACCACCAAUUACACGUCUACCGCUCGUACACGAAGAGAUGCCCGCCGUCGGUGUACAUUGAUGCCACUGGAAGUAUCAUCAGACGCAUCGAGCGAUCCGAUGGGUCCAAGUCACAUCACAUAUUUCUAUACAUAUGCGUCGUUAACGAUAAUGGCAAUCAAUUUUCCGUCUCUCAAAUGUUGAGCGAAAGUCACCAUACGGAUACCAUUAUGUCUUGGCUCUCGGCAUGGGCUCGUAAUGGUGCCCCUCAUCCACGGGAAGUUAUUUGUGAUUCCUCUAAGGCUCUGCUCACAGGCGUGAUAAAAACUUUCACCGGUACGUACGUACUCAAGUGCUGUAGUAGUCAUGGCUAGUUUCAUUCCACCCGAAUCACCGAAGGAUCAUGUUAUUAAAGGCGGGGAUUGGAAGUGAUUCUUCUGUGAAAGAGAUACACUUUGUUGCUAAUUCUUCUGCACGAUCCACAAUCACAAUUCUUUGUUCACAGAUUAUUCAACUAUUGAGCAAUACUCAAACACCUUCAGCACUGACGGUCGAAUAGCUCCUUCAUGCUACGUUAGAAUCGACGUCGCGCAUUUUAUAAAAAUGUACGCGAAUUUGCUGAUCGCAGGCAUUGACAAAAAUUCCCAUCAUGAAGAACGAGCACAGUCUGAGCGUUCAGGCUGUCAAAUUUGGAGGUUGUGAGUAUUCUUUUUCGAAUACGUGUGACUUUGAUAGCGUUUUGACGACGGUGUUAGUGGAUACUUGUGACCAUCCGGACGUAGAGCGAAAUAUGAUUAGCCGUAAAAAAGACGUUCCAUUGUUUGAACUCAUCCUGUCUAUAAUGCAAAAGGGCCUUCGUGCGCAUGCGUAUCGACAGCGGGCUGUGAUUUUAAAAGAUUUGUAUAGACACAGUAUAAAGCAAACGAAUGCGAAUAGCUAUAAAAUCGACUGUCGUGUUAAUGCUUGCUACCUCGUGACACUACUAUUCACCGAUGCGCCGAGUGUUGAAGAGGUUUCUAUCUGCGAAGGCGGUUGUCCACCCCGCCGCAAAAAACUGCGUAUCAUUGGAAUCCAACGAAAAGUGCUACAUGACCCGAGUUUCGAAGAUCUGCUAACCGAGCAUGUAGCAAUCACGGAUAAGCGGAAAUGCUGCCGCAAAGGAUGCUCAAGCAAUGAAACCACCAACUUUCCAAACACCGGCAAUUUUCACAAAUUCUCGUUUGAUUUCAUCCUACCAAGCCUCAAGACAAGUUAAAUGUAUAUUUGUAGUAUAUUGUCCCCUUUCUAUGUAACCACGUAACUGCAAGAAUU